UAGCCAACCCUAUUGCCAUGGGCAGGGACACCUUCCACUAGACCAGGUUGCUUAGAGCCCCAUCCAAUCUGGGCUUGAACACUUCAAGAGAUGGAGUAACUUCUGUGGGCAACUGGUUCUGGUGCCUCACAACCCUCACAGUUGAACAAUCCCAGUUCUCCCAGCCUUUCCUUCUAGGAGUGGUGCUCCAUCCUUCUAAUCAACUUGGUGUCCUGCCUCUGAACUUGAUCCAGCAGGUUGGUGACCUUCCUCUGCUCAGAAUAAUUCCAAAGCAAUACAUUAAAGCUUUAAUCUCAGAGUUUAUGUGAGAUAGUCAGUUUAUGUCCAUGGGAGGACAACAGACACUCCACAUAAACAGAAUUGAAAGUUGGCUGAUGAUGUUUCAGUCACCUAUUUCUCUUUAAAAAUACAUAUUUUCUGAACAGUCUCUAGUUAGUCAAGCACUUAAGUGCCCAGGUAUGCAUGAAGAAUGUGUAAGCUGGCCCACUGUUGCAGGGCCUCCUGGCAGAAGACCACAUAUACAUCUUUCUCAUAGUGGACUCUAGUAAGGAGAUGUGGCAAAUUUCUAGCUUUGGAGCAUUGAGUCAGAUUAUUUUCUAUUCUAACAUGAUUAUUUUGCAUAUGUUGAAUUUUUUUGGCUUGUUAAUGCAUGUCUUGAUGAUUCAAGGGAGUUUCCACUAAAAUUGGUUCUUGUUCAAUGUUCCUUUUUAUAGAUGCUCAAUUGUAACUGUAAACUAUCUUAGUGUAUGGUCUCGUUGACAGGUAUCCAGAAGCUGUGAUCUUUAAGUCUUGCUUUUUUUUAACUGAGAGAUCACACAGAAAAAGGUUGUGAGCAUUGGAUCAUAUUUAAAUGUGUAACUUGUAUUAAUAUUCUGCUUUUAUUUUCUAAGCCCAGAAAGAAUCUUGACCAAUAAUAUGUUAAUAUUUCAUUUACUGGUUUUAAGUUAUUAUUCCUCUUUUCUAAGCUAUUACUGUGAAACUGAGGUUAUUAUUAAUGGAAUGUAUGUAGCAGUAUUUGUUGUGUUCUGUUGCUGAGGGAGUAAAAUAGAAGCAGGAAACAGUUAUCACUACAAACUUAAAAAGCAGGCUUGAGCCCAACUCAGUUAAGAAUGGCACACUAUCCUCAAAAACAGUCUCUUUUUUACAAAUAGAGCUAGUAAAUAUAUUUACACGUAUAAUAUUUUACAAGUUAAUAAGACUUAGUAUAGUAAUAAGUGGUGAGAAGUCACAAAAAGCAGCUGUUGGAGAGACAAGGAGUGAUUUCUCCUAUGUCCUGGUAUCUCUAGCUCAUGUUUUUUGCCUCUGUAACCUUAUUCUAUGAAAAAAGAAUGUUAGACAUCUGGUAGGGUUGUGUUGAUCAUAAAAUUCCUCAAUAAACCCUUUAUUUCUAGUAAAAUAAUUUUUUUUAUAAACACUAAUUUCUCAAGACAUUUUAAAACAAUCUGUAAUUAAGAACCAAUGCCCAUGGAAUAAAAUGUUAUCAUCGGU